rnacentral:rRNA from 1 species
GCACCGGCUAACUCCGUGCCAGCAGCCGCGGUAAUACAGAGGGUGCAAGCGUUAAUCGGAAUUACUGGGCGUAAAGCGCACGCAGGUGGUUGCUUAAGUCGGAUGUGAAAGCCCCGGGCUCAACCUGGGAAUUGCAUUUGACACUGGCAAGCUUGAGUCUGGAAGAGGGUGGUGGAAUUCCCGGUGUAGCGGUGAAAUGCGUAGAGAUCGGGAGGAACACCAGUGGCGAAGGCGGCCCCCUGGACGAGCACUGACAUUCAGGUGCGAAAGCGUGGGGAGCAAACAGGAUUAGAUACCCUGGUAGUCCACGCCGUAAACGAUGUCGACUUGG